GCGUAUCGAGAGAUACUCUUGAGCGACUGGAAAAGCUAAUGUCGGUAUAAGUAACGAUAAACUGACCGAGAAACCCUGCCGCCGGAAGACUGAGGAUUCCUGAUCAACGUUAAUCGGAUCAGGGUUAGUCGGGGCCUAAGGAUAAGCCGAAAGGCGAUUCCGAUGGAAGAAACUGUUAAUAUUCAGUUACUGGCAUACACACUGAUGUGGGGACGGAGGAAUGAAAGUUCUGCCAACUGACGGAAUAGUUGGUUAAAGGGUGUAGAUGUAGAUAGUGUAGGCAAAUCCGCACUAGAGUCGAACCUGAAAGUACCGCGAGGGCUUGCCUGAGUGGAAAUGAACGUAAGUAGACUCCCAAGAAAAUCCGCUAAAGAUAUGUGUAUGGCACCCGUACCACAAACGGACACACGUGGUCACGUAUAGAGUACUAAGGCGCUCGAGAGAUUCACAGCUAAGGAACUAGGCAAAAUAGCCCCGUAACUUCGGGAUAAGGGGCGCUCUCUGAAAGAUGGGAGCCGCAGAGAAAUGGCUCAAGCGACUGUUUAACAAAAACACAGGGCUAUGCGAAAUCGAAAGAUGAGAUAUAUGGCCUGACACCUGCCCGGUGCUGGAAGGUUAAGAGGAGAUGUCAACCGCAAGGCGAAGCAUUGAAUUGAAGCCCCAGUAAACGGCGGCCGUAACUAUAACGGUCCUAAGGUAGCGAAAUUCCUUGUCGGGUAAGUUCCGACCUGCACGAAUGGCGUAACGAUAUGGGCGCUGUCUCAACAAGGGACUCGGUGAAAUUGUAGGGCUGGUAAAGAUGCCAGCGACCCGCGACUAGACGGAAAGACCCCGUAGAGCUUUACUGUAGUUUGGUAUUGAGUUUUGACAUGAGAUGUACAGGAUAGGUGGGAGGCUAUGAAGAGAGGACGCCAGUUUUCUCGGAGCCGCUGUUGGGAUACCACCCUUGCGAUAUUGGAUUUCUAACCUGCGGCCGUAAACCGGUCGGGGGACAAUGCCAGAUGGGGAGUUUGACUGGGGCGGUCGCCUCCGAAAGGGUAUCGGAGGCGCUCAAAGGUUCCCUCAGGAUGGUCGGAAACCAUCCGAAGAGUGCAAAGGCAGAAGGGAGCCUGACUGCGACACCGACGGGUGGAGCAGGUACGAAAGUAGGGCUUAGUGAUCCGGUGGUAUUAAGUGGGAAUGCCAUCGCUCAACGGAUAAAAGCUACCCUGGGUAUAACAGGCUGAUCCCUCCCAAGAGUUCACAUCGACGGAGUGGUUUGGCGCCUCGAUGUCGGCUCAUCGCAUCCUGGGGCUGUAGUAGGUCCCAAGGGUUGGGC
rnacentral:rRNA from 1 species